UACGGGAGGCAGCAGUGGGGAAUAUUGGACAAUGGGCGAAAGCCUGAUCCAGCCGUGCCGCAUGAGUGAAGAAGGCCUUCGGGUUGUAAAGCUCUUUUAGUGAGAAAGAUAAUGACGGUACUCACAGAAGAAGUCCUGGCUAACUCCGUGCCAGCAGCCGCGGUAAUACGGAGAGGGCUAGCGUUAUUCGGAAUUAUUGGGCGUAAAGAGCGCGUAGGCUGAUUAGUAAGUUAAAAGUGAAAUCCCAAAGCUUAACUUUGGAAUUGCUUUUUAAAACUGCUAGUCUAGAGAUUUGAAAGAGGAUAGAGGAAUUCCUAGUGUAGAGGUGAAAUUCGUAAAUAUUAGGAGGAACACCAGUGGCGAAGGCGUCUAUCUGGUUCAAAUCUGACGCUGAGGCGCGAAGGGCGUGGGGAGCGAAACAGGGAUUAGAUACCCGU
rnacentral:rRNA from 1 species